rnacentral:lncRNA from 1 species
AUGCUGCUUCCAUCCGCAAGCUCUGCAGAGGGAGCGUUUGCAAAGGGAGGGUUUGCAAGGGGCUGCUCUAGGAAAGACAAAAUUCUUGCGGAAGGAGUGGGGGGGAAAAAUUGGGCAAAAAUGAUUUUAACCAUUUCUAGCAAUCUCACCACCCAGCAGGACUGGCAGAAACAAAACCCUUCAUUUAUUCCUCUUCCACUGCUGCAGCUGCAGGUCUCAUUCCCAGGGGCUUCCUCUAACUCCCUGAGGCCAUCCCAUCCUUGCAGGGUAGAGCUCAGCUUGCACCUGCGUCUCAUGUGCAGCCAAGGGGAUGGUUUCAGGCAUGACCUGGCUGCUCCUCAACUUCACAGCAGAGCCAAGGGAGAACCAUGCCAGUGAAAAGCAGACCUUCUACCCAGCCAGCCGUUGUCUGUGUGAUGCAUCUCCUGUGCAGAGAACAGAGCAAUGGGUCCAGCGCCUGCAUGCAAAAGUUGCUUUUCAUUGGGAAUGUCUGGACCUUGUCCAGGCCACUGGAAGAGGGCCAUCAGACACCCAGAAACAUGGAAGAACAUCACUCAAAGCAGUAAGGAAGAAGGUUAAAGUAGCAAAAUAAUUGCCAAGUCAGGGAAUUGAGGAAGUCUGAUAAUGCAAGUAUCUUUAAAGACCCUGAAAAGCUGAGCUGGAAGCCAUUUUAAAGAUGCACCAAGGAUCUCUCUGAGUGGCUGGUGUGAGAUCACAUCCUCAUCUCAGGCAUAAUAAUUUGGUACCAGCUCUACUCACUACAGACACUGUAAUAAGAGGCAGAACAGGAAGUGCUGUAAGAAAUCCAGUCCCCACAGUAGCCUUAAAAGUUACUUCUGUGAUUCUUGAAAUAGAGUGUUUCAAGAUCUUUUGCUGAGCUGACCUAGUUUCAUGAUUCUCUUCCUCUUUGGAGGAUGUCAGGCUAGUACUGGAAAAGGGAUUUUCCUAGGAAGGCAGCAAGGAAGAUAAAGAGGAAUUCUGUAUUGCACAGUAAGGAAAGACAGCAAAUUAUAUAAUAGUAAUAAUAAUAACAACAACACUAAUAAUAAUAUAGAUAAGGAUGGCUCAAUGGGUUGCUCUCUUUAGGGUCUGAAGGAAAGUUCUAGGUCUUUUCUCACUGGGAGAUACUCCAAAUAGCUUCUGAUCUCUUAUCCUCCCCCUUUCUUGAGAACUCAGUGGCAGUGUUUCUCAGGCAGCAAGACUGUCUGGCAGCCACUGAAAUGAAAAGCUCCUCCAAGGACUGUCAGGUAGAAUCAGAGGGAAGACAAGAAGAAAAGGAAAAAGCCAUUUUUUUUAUUUUUUUUUUCCUGUUUUGCUUUUUCUUUUAGAACAGUUGAAGAAAUUGACUCUAAGGUGUAACAGACAUUUGAGCAUUUGAGGGCUUCCAUGUUUCCAGAUUCCAAGGUGAAACCAAACCAGCACAAAACCUAAAAAAAAUAAAUGAUGAGGCUGUCCCUCUCCA